UGAGCAAUCUGCCCUUCUCUUUGGAAUAAGCGUUGGAAACGACGUCUAAUGCCGAAUACGACCUCCUUUCGCAUGAUCGGAGGUGGAAAGCUCCGGCGGAGAAGGAUGAGCUCGCGGCCUAUCAGCUAGUUGGUGAGGUAACGGCUCACCAAGGCGACGACGGGUAGCUGGUCUGAGAGGAUGGCCAGCCAUAUUGGGACUGAGACACGGCCCAGACCUCUACGGGA
rnacentral:rRNA from 1 species